GACGAACGCUGGCGGCGUGCUUAACACAUGCAAGUCGAACGGAAAGGCCCCCAUCUUGGUGGGGGUGCUCGAGUGGCGAACGGGUGAGUAACACGUGGGUGAUCUGUCCUGUACUUCGGGAUAAGCUUGGGAAACUGGGUCUAAUACCGGAUAGGACCAUGGUUUAGUGUCUCAUGGUGGAAAGAUUAUUGUUUUGGUGCAGGAUGAGCUCGCGGCCUAUCAGCUUGUUGGUGGGGUAAUGGCCUACCAAGGCGUCGACGGGUAGCCGGCCUGAGAGGGUGGACGGCCACAUUGGGACUGAGAUACGGCCCAGACUCCUACGGGAGGCAGCAGUGGGGAAUAUUGCACAAUGGGCGCAAGCCUGAUGCAGCGACGCCGCGUGGGGGAUGACGGCCUUCGGGUUGUAAACUCCUUUCGUUAGGGACGAAGCCGCACUUUUUUUGGGUGUGGUGACGGUACCUUUGUUAAGAAGCACCGGCUAACUACGUG
rnacentral:rRNA from 1 species